GUUGGGGUGCAUCUCAGUGGUAGAGCAUAUUCUUAACAUGAUCCAGGCCCUGGGUUCAAUUCCCAGCACCAAAA
rnacentral:tRNA from 1 species